GCCGUCGUCGCCUAGAGGCUUGGCACCUGACUUUUAAUCAGACUUAAACAUGGGUUCGAAUCCCAUCGACGGCA
rnacentral:tRNA from 1 species